rnacentral:rRNA from 1 species
AAUUUUUGACAAUGGGCGCAAGCCUGAUCCAGCCAUGCCGCGCUAGUGAAGAAGGGCUUCGGGUUGUAAAACUCUUUUGGACAGAAAGAAAUCACGCAGGCUAACACCCUGCGCGGAUGACGGCAUCGUCUUAAGCAGCACCCGCUUACUACGUGCUAGCAGCCGCGGUAAUACGUAGGGUGUGCGCGUUAAUCGGGAUUACUGGGCGUAAAGCGUUCGCAGGCGGUUGAUUAAGACCGGCGUGAGAUCCCCGGGCUUAACCUGGGAACUGCGCUUGUGACUAGUCAGCUAGAGUACGGCAGAGGGGGGUGGAAUUCCACGUGUAGCAGUGAAAUGCGUAGGGAUGUGGAGGAACACCGAUGGCGAAGGCAGCCCCCUGGGCCGAUACUGACGCUCAUGCACGAAAGCGUGGGUAGCAAACAGG